rnacentral:misc_RNA from 1 species
GUAUUUUGAAUUGUUUUAUUCGUAAUAUUUUUCAGACAAAGAGUUGAGAUAAUAGUUGAUGUUUGGGGCCGGUCAAAAAAGACCAACCCUGACAUUGCACACAGGGCGGAUAUGGAUUCAAAAAAGUGCCAUAAAACACUUAUUAUGAAUGAUCCUUCCGCAGGUUCACCUACGGAAA